GACGAACGCUGGCGGCGUGCCUAAUACAUGCAAGUAGAACGCUGAAGAGAGGAGCUUGCUCUUCUUGGAUGAGUUGCGAACGGGUGAGUAACGCGUAGGUAACCUGCCUUGUAGCGGGGGAUAACUAUUGGAAACGAUAGCUAAUACCGCAUAACAAUGGAUGACACAUGUCAUUUAUUUGAAAGGGGCAAUUGCUCCACUACAAGAUGGACCUGCGUUGUAUUAGCUAGUAGGUGAGGUAAUGGCUCACCUAGGCGACGAUACAUAGCCGACCUGAGAGGGUGAUCGGCCACACUGGGACUGGGACACGGCCCAGACUCCUACGGGAGGCAGCAGUAGGGAAUCUUCGGCAAUGGGGGCAACCCUGACCGAGCAACGCCGCGUGAGGGAAGAAGGUUUUCGGAUCGUAAAGCUCUGUUGUAAGUCAAGAACGGGUGUGAGAGUGGAAAGUUCACACUGUGACGGUAGCUUACCAGAAAGGGACGGCUAACUACGUG
rnacentral:rRNA from 1 species